UGACUGCGUACCUUUUGUAUAAUGGGUCAGCGACUUAUAUUCUGUAGCAAGGUUAACCGAAUAGGGGAGCCGGAGGGAAACCGAGUCUUAAUUGGGCGUUAAGUUGCAGGGUAUAGACCCGAAACCCGGUGAUCUAGCCAUGGGCAGGUUGAAGGUUGGGUAACACUAACUGGAGGACCGAACCGACUAAUGUUGAAAAAUUAGCGGAUGACCUGUGGCUGGGGGUGAAAGGCCAAUCAAACCGGGAGAUAGCUGGUUCUCCCCGAAAGCUAUUUAGGUAGCGCCUCGUGAAUUCAUCUCCGGGGGUAGAGCACUGUUUCGGCUAGGGGGCCAUCCCGGCUUACCAACCCGAUGCAAACUGCGAAUACCGGAGAAUGUUAUCACGGGAGACACACGGCGGGUGCUAACGUCCGUCGUGAAGAGGGAAACAACCCAGACCGCCAGCUAAGGUCCCAAAGUCAUGGUUAAGUGGGAAACGAUGUGGGAAGGCCCAGACAGCCAGGAUGUUGGCUUAGAAGCAGCCAUCAUUUAAAGAAAGCGUAAUAGCUCACUGGUCGAGUCGGCCUGCGCGGAAGAUGUAACGGGGCUAAACCAUGCACCGAAGCUGCGGCAGCGACACUCAGGUGUUGUUGGGUAGGGGAGCGUUCUGUAAGCCUGCGAAGGUGGCCUGUGAGGGUUGCUGGAGGUAUCAGAAGUGCGAAUGCUGACAUAAGUAACGAUAAAGCGGGUGAAAAGCCCGCUCGCCGGAAGACCAAGGGUUCCUGUCCAACGUUAAUCGGGGCAGGGUGAGUCGACCCCUAAGGCGAGGCCGAAAGGCGUAGUCGAUGGGAAACGGGUUAAUAUUCCCGUACUUGGUGUUACUGCGAAGGGGGGACGGAGAAGGCUAUGUUGGCCGGGCGACGGUUGUCCCGGUUUAAGCGUGUAGGCUGGUUUUCCAGGCAAAUCCGGAAAAUCAAGGCUGAGGCGUGACGACGAGGCACUACGGUGCUGAAGCAACAAAUGCCCUGCUUCCAGGAAAAGCCUCUAAGCAUCAGGUAACACGAAAUCGUACCCCAAACCGACACAGGUGGUCAGGUAGAGAAUACCAAGGCGCUUGAGAGAACUCGGGUGAAGGAACUAGGCAAAAUGGUGCCGUAACUUCGGGAGAAGGCACGCUGACAUGUAGGUGAAGUGAUUUACUCAUGGAGCUGAAGUCAGUCGAAGAUACCAGCUGGCUGCAACUGUUUAUUAAAAACACAGCACUGUGCAAACACGAAAGUGGACGUAUACGGUGUGACGCCUGCCCGGUGCCGGAAGGUUAAUUGAUGGGGUCAGCGCAAGCGAAGCUCCUGAUCGAAGCCCCGGUAAACGGCGGCCGUAACUAUAACGGUCCUAAGGUAGCGAAAUUCCUUGUCGGGUAAGUUCCGACCUGCACGAAUGGCGUAAUGAUGGCCAGGCUGUCUCCACCCGAGACUCAGUGAAAUUGAACUCGCUGUGAAGAUGCAGUGUACCCGCGGCAAGACGGAAAGACCCCGUGAACCUUUACUAUAGCUUGACACUGAACAUUGAGCCUUGAUGUGUAGGAUAGGUGGGAGGCUUUGAAGUGUGGACGCCAGUCUGCAUGGAGCCGACCUUGAAAUACCACCCUUUAAUGUUUGAUGUUCUAACGUGGACCCGUGAUCCGGGUUGCGGACAGUGUCUGGUGGGUAGUUUGACUGGGGCGGUCUCCUCCUAAAGAGUAACGGAGGAGCACGAAGGUUGGCUAAUCCUGGUCGGACAUCAGGAGGUUAGUGCAAUGGCAUAAGCCAGCUUGACUGCGAGCGUGACGGCGCGAGCAGGUGCGAAAGCAGGUCAUAGUGAUCCGGUGGUUCUGAAUGGAAGGGCCAUCGCUCAACGGAUAAAAGGUACUCCGGGGAUAACAGGCUGAUACCGCCCAAGAGUUCAUAUCGACGGCGGUGUUUGGCACCUCGAUGUCGGCUCAUCACAUCCUGGGGCUGAAGUAGGUCCCAAGGGUAUGGCUGUUCGCCAUUUAAAGUGGUACGCGAGCUGGGUUUAGAACGUCGUGAGACAGUUCGGUCCCUAUCUGCCGUGGGCGCUGGAGAACUGAGGGGGGCUGCUCCUAGUACGAGAGGACCGGAGUGGACGCAUCACUGGUGUUCGGGUUGUCAUGCCAAUGGCACUGCCCGGUAGCUAAAUGCGGAAGAGAUAAGUGCUGAAAGCAUCUAAGCACGAAACUUGCCCCGAGAUGAGUUCU
rnacentral:rRNA from 1 species